CAGAGGGUGCAAACGUUGUUCGGAAUUACUGGGCGUAAAGCGCGUGUAGGCAGUUUCGCAAGUCGGGUGUGAAAGCCCUGGGCUCAACCUAGGAAGUGCACUCGAAACUGCGAGACUUGAGUCCUGGAGAGGAAGGCGGAAUUCUCGGUGUAGAGGUGAAAUUCGUAGAUAUCGAGAGGAACACCGGUGGCGAAGGCGGCCUUCUGGACAGUGACUGACGCUGAGACGCGAAAGCGUGGGGAGCAAACAGGAUUAGAUACCCUGGUAGUCCACGCCGUAAACGAUGGGUGCUAGGUGUCAGGGGCUUUGACCCCUCUGGUGCCGUAGCUAACGCAUUAAGCACCCGCCUGGGGAGUACGGCCGCAAGGCUAA
rnacentral:rRNA from 1 species